rnacentral:rRNA from 1 species
AUUCCAGCUCCAAUAGCGUAUAUUAAAGUUGUUGCAGUUAAAAAGCUCGUAGUUGGAUUUCUGGCUGGAGCGAUCGGUCCGCCCCGCAAGGGGUGUGUACUAGCGUCGUCUCCGACCAUCCUUGUGGGAACUGUGCGGCCGUUAACUCGGUUGUAUAUGGGAACACAUCGUUUACUGUGAAAAAAUUAGAGUGUUUAAAGCAGGCUUAAGCCGUUGAAUACAUUAGCAUGGAAUAAUAAGAUAAGACUUGGGUCAUUAUUUUGUUGGUUUGCGGAUCGAGGUAAUGAUUAAUAGGGAUAGUUGGGGGUAUUCAUAUUUAAUUGUCAGAGGUGAAACUCUCGGAUUUAUGAAAGAUGAACUUAGGCGAAAGCAUUUACCAAGGAUGUUUUCAUUA